rnacentral:rRNA from 1 species
AGUCGAACGCGUCUUGGUUAUUGAUGUUAGAUGCUUGCAUUUAACUGAUUUAACAUUGAGACGAGUGGCGAACUGGUGAGUAACACGUGGGUAACCUGCCCUUGAAGUAGGGGAUAACACUUGGAAACAGGUGCUAAUACCGUAUAACAACCAAAACCACCUGGUUUUGGUUUAAAAGAUGGCUUCGGCUAUCACUUUAGGAUGGACCCGCGGCGUAUUAGCUUGUUGGUAAGGUAACGGCCUACCAAGGCAAUGAUACGUAGCCGACCUGAGAGGGUAAUCGGCCACAUUGGGACUGAGACACGGCCCAAACUCCUACGGGAGGCAGCAGUAGGGAAUCUUCCACAAUGGACGAAAGUCUGAUGGAGCAACGCCGCGUGAGUGAUGAAGGGUUUCGGCUCGUAAAACUCUGUUGUUGGAGAAGAACAGGUGUGAGAGUAACUGUUCACAUCUUGACGGUAUCCAACCAGAAAGCCACGGCUAACUACGUGCCAGCAGCCGCGGUAAUACGUAGGUGGCAAGCGUUGUCCGGAUUUAUUGGGCGUAAAGCGAGCGCAGGCGGUUUCUUAGGUCUGAUGUGAAAGCCUUCGGCUUAACCGGAGAAGUGCAUCGGAAACCAGGAGACUUGAGUGCAGAAGAGGACAGUGGAACUCCAUGUGUAGCGGUGAAAUGCGUAGAUAUAUGGAAGAACACCAGUGGCGAAGGCGGCUGUCUGGUCUGUAACUGACGCUGAGGCUCGAAAGCAUGGGUAGCGAACAGGAUUAGAUACCCUGGUAGUCCAUGCCGUANACGAUGAGUGCUAAGUGUUGGAGGGUUUCCGCCCUUCAGUGCUGCAGCUAACGCAUUAAGCACUCCGCCUGGGGAGUACGACCGCAAGGUUGAAACU